rnacentral:rRNA from 1 species
UACGAAGGGGGCUAGCGUUGCUCGGAAUCACUGGGCGUAAAGCGCACGUAGGCGGAUCUUUAAGUCAGGGGUGAAAUCCUGGAGCUCAACUCCAGAACUGCCUUUGAUACUGAGGAUCUCGAGUCCGGGAGAGGUGAGUGGAACUGCGAGUGUAGAGGUGAAAUUCGUAGAUAUUCGCAAGAACACCGGUGGCGAAGGCGGGUCUCUGGGCCGAUACUGACGCUGAGGAGCGAAAGCGUGGGGAGCGAACAGG